rnacentral:rRNA from 1 species
AUUGAACGCUGGCGGCAUGCCUUACACAUGCAAGUCGAACGGCAGCACGGGAGCUUGCUCCUGGUGGCGAGUGGCGAACGGGUGAGUAAUACAUCGGAACGUACCCUGAAGUGGGGGAUAACGUAGCGAAAGUUACGCUAAUACCGCAUAUUCUGUGAGCAGGAAAGAGGGGGAUCGCAAGACCUCUUGCUUUAGGAGCGGCCGAUGUCGGAUUAGCUAGUUGGUGAGGUAAAGGCUCACCAAGGCGACGAUCCGUAGCGGGUCUGAGAGGAUGAUCCGCCACACUGGGACUGAGACACGGCCCAGACUCCUACGGGAGGCAGCAGUGGGGAAUUUUGGACAAUGGGCGCAAGCCUGAUCCAGCCAUGCCGCGUGAGUGAAGAAGGCCU